UACGAAGGGGGCUAGCGUUGCUCGGAAUCACUGGGCGUAAAGCGCACGUAGGCCGAUUGUUAAGUCAGGGGUGAAAUCCUGGAGCUCAACUCCAGAACUGCCCUUGAUACUGACGGUCUCGAGUCCGGGAGAGGUGAGUGGAACUGCGAGUGUAGAGGUGAAAUGCGUAGAUAUUGGGAGGAACACCAGUGGCGAAGGCGGCUCACUGGACCGGUACUGACGCUGAUGCGCGAAAGCGUGGGGAGCAAACGGG
rnacentral:rRNA from 1 species